rnacentral:rRNA from 1 species
AAUCAACGCUGGCGGCGUGCCUAACACAUGCAAGUCGAACGGGAAACGGGGGCAACUCCGUGAGUAUAGUGGCGUACGGGUGAGUAACACGUGACUACCUACCUUUGAGUGGGGGAUAACCCCGGGAAACCGGGCUAAUACCGCAUAACAUCGCAAGAUCAAAGAAGCAAAUUCGCUUAAAGAGGGGGUCGCGGCUGAUUAGCUAGUUGGUAGGGUAAUGGCCUACCAAGGCGAUGAUCGGUAGCCGGCCUGAGAGGGCGCACGGCCACACUGGAACUGAAACACGGUCCAGACUCCUACGGGAGGCAGCAGUGGGAAUUUGCGCAAUGGGGGAAACCCUGACGCAGCAACGCCGCGUGGAGGAUGAAGUCCCUUGGGACGUAAACUCCUUUCGACCGGGACGAUUAUGACGGUACCGGUGGAAGAAGCCCCGGCUAACUUCGUGCCAGCAGCCGCGGUAAU